UGACUAAUGGCAUAAUAACCCACUGUGAC
rnacentral:piRNA from 1 species